UAACUUGGGUUUGAGUCUUUCUCAGG
rnacentral:piRNA from 1 species